CCCUUAGAUGUUCUGGGCUGCACACGUGCUACACUGGCAGGUUCAGCGAGCUUCAUGCCCUGAUCUGAAAGGAAUGGGAAAUCUUUUCAAAACCUGCCGUGCUUGGGAUAGAUGUUUGCAAUUAUUCAUCUUCAACGAGGAUUGCCUUGUAAGCGCACGUCAUCAGCGUGCAUUGAAUACGACCCUGUAUUCUGUACACACCGCCCGUCGCUCCUACCGAUUGAAGUUUUCGGUGAGUUGACAGGAGGAUUUUUUUGACACUGGUUCGCCAGUGGAUUUUAGAUCCAAAUGCCAACGAAUCGAUGGCUUUAGAGGAAGGAGAAGUCGUAACA
rnacentral:rRNA from 1 species